UACGUAGGGUGCAAGCGUUGUCCGGAAUUAUUGGGCGUAAAGAGCUCGUAGGCGGUUUGUCGCGUCUGCUGUGAAAGCUCGGGGCUCAACUCCGAGCUUGCAGUGGGUACGGGCAGACUAGAGUGCGGUAGGGGAGACUGGAAUUCCUGGUGUAGCGGUGGAAUGCGCAGAUAUCAGGAGGAACACCGGUGGCGAAGGCGGGUCUCUGGGCCGUAACUGACGCUGAGGAGCGAAAGCAUGGGGAGCGAACAGG
rnacentral:rRNA from 1 species